rnacentral:lncRNA from 13 species
AUGACAUCAAGCACGGACCAGGUUUCCAAACCCACUCUGCUUCAGCAAGAGGCUCUUGCACCCUGGAUCGUCCUGAUGGGGAAAGGCCUGAGCUGGGAACGUGCCCGGGUAUUGCCAGGAGGGCUGGAAGAAAGACCUUCUGACCCUGUUGUGCAGCAGAACAAGACUCGUGGUGAUUCUACACUCAAACCGUGCCAGACGCCUGCUCUGGUGUCACAGUGGAGCCCCAGAAGGGAUCAGCAUCAUUCAGUUGUUCCCUUAAAGCCCGUUUGCAUACAUCAUUAUCAAGAGAAAAGUCACCAUUUACUAUAAUUGUCAUCUUUACUGCACUGGAGCUUAAUAGAAGAGCUGAGUGACUCAGGCAGCUGAAAGCAUUGGAAUCUCAGCCAUGCAUGGAGCAGUUCUGGCUCUCCCAUGCCCCCCCCCCCCCCCAAAGCACCCAAUUCAGGGUUUCAGACUGAUGGAUUUCACAGGCUGGGCUCCCCCAAAUUAUUGCCCCUUCCCUCUGUCACUGGAACAGAGCAAGGCUGUCCCUAAAGCUCUUUGCUCCUUUGGGAUAGCACCAAACUCUAGGUGCCGGACACUCACCUGCUUCCCUUGGGCAGCCAGAGCAGCACCUACAGGGAGGUGGGACCAGCUAGGACCACCUCCUGAACCCCAAAACAUCUGGAUAUGAGCAUUCAUCUUGCUCCUGGGAUUCCUCUUGAGGAGUCCAAGACCAAGCAGGCCACACCACAGCUUUCUCCAGGUCACCACCCAGCUUCCAGCACAUCCAGGAGCUUCAUGGAUCAGAGCCAAGCACCUUGUUCUUUUAGGUGGACUUUUCCUGCUGAACGUUUUUGGCCUGUGAGCCAAAAAUCUCACCACCCAGCAGUCCUGAGCCACAAUCCCCUCCUUCCAUCAGCAAAUCCUGCUCUUCCUCUCCAUGCCCAUUUUAUCACUCUGGCACCUGCGCAUUACUGCGUAAACCCCUGCAGCUGAAUCUCCGUCAGCACAGGAGCCCAGGCACUCCCCUCUCUAUGCCCACCUCUCCAGGAGUUCAGAAAGCCUUGUUUGCUCCACGAUUUAUGGGAAAAUUCCAGACAGUUCUGGCAAAGUCCAGCUGACCACUCUGCAGGGCUGUUUUUCCCAAGCCACAUUUUGGGAUGCAGCGAUGGCUGAGGGGCAGAGUGCUGUGUAACCUCACAGGUGAGCCCAAAUAAAAGAGAGAUGUCUCCAUCACAGGACUGUCAGGUGUUAGUGGACACUGUUCUUCCAUCAUUUUCCUGCUGCUGACAUUGUCCUGGUCCCUGCUGUCUGGGCAGUAGGACACAGAGGGAUUCAUGGAACCAGAGCCAUCCCUGGCAGUGUCCAGGGCCAGGUUGGACAGGGCUUGGAGCAGCCUGGGAUAGUGGAAGGUGUCCCUGCCCAUGGCAGGGGGUGGGACAAGGUGGUCUUUAAGGUCCCUCCAAUCCAAACCAGUCUGAGAUUCUGUGAUUCUCUGAGCUGAGGCAGUCAUGGACAGCUGGAAAAACAGACUCUGCUGCUGCCUAAACACCACCUGCACUGGAGCAAAGGAUCUUCACACUUGCAUCCUUCAAAGCAAAAACAACACCCCUGGCCACGAAUGUUUUCCCUUGGGCUGGAGGCCCCGAAGCACAGCCAGGCUGGGCUCUCUGGGUACGGCUCUGUUCUGUGACACGUGGCCUUCUCCUGUUGUUUACUCCCAAAGAAAGCCUCGUUCCACCAAAGGCAGGCCUGGAGCCUUUGGCGGGAGUGUUAUGUGGUGACGCAAAGUUAUCCUUUACAAAAAAUCCCUACGAACAAAGGACCCUCUUACAGACACAUCUUUUCCACGAGGAGCUGCCAGUGAAAAACAAGGGUUUUUGCUCCCAACCUGGAGGCACUGGCGUUCCCUCUGUGAUCCUGGAUUUUCAAUGACCUUUACCCACGCUCUGGGUGGCAAAACCACAUCCAAGGCAGUGGUGGAGCAGUGCCCAGGGGUGGCUGUGGUGCCACCAACCCCAACGAGCCACCUUCUCUGACACUGCCAGCGAAGGCAUGGCCUGGUUGGGAAGGACCCAUUCAUCCCCUCUAGGACAGACAGCCACCACGUGUCCAUGCUGAUUUUCCUACUGAGGAGGAGCCAGAAGGGAAGGGCAGGGCAGAGAUCAGGAGGCAAAGCUUGGCUCUUAAACAAUAGCUAUUGUGUAAACAUAUUUUUAUUUCUGUCCUAAAAAAACCAAGUGAUUUUGGUGUGUCCUAAAAGUUACAGUCACUUAAAUGCCAGGAUUAUCAUAGAAUCAUAAAAGGGUUUGGGUUGGAAGGGACCCAAAGACCAUCUCGUUCCAUGGGCAGGGCCACCUUCCACUACACCAGGUUUGUCCAAGCCCCAUGCAGACUGGCCUUGAACACUUCCAGGGAUGGGGAGUGAAUAUCCACAGAAGAUGGACACAACAUUUGUAUUACAAUGUCCACAUUUGUAGAAAUUGAAUUUAGAUUUCAAUCUAAAUCUUGGGAUGUCCUGAGACUGUGAGAGCUGUCAGGGCUGCCUGGGCCCAGGGGCAUCCCCUGGAGGGGCCGAGACUGGGAUCCCUGGGGUGGUACAGAGACCCUGAGCUGGGGCAUUGGGGGUCCCAGGUGGGGGACCCAGGUGGGGCCAGCCAGCCACAUCCAGGUCCUGGCAAAACCAACCCCAGCACAAACUGUUUUGAGAGCUCCAGGUCAUUUCAGUGAAGCAGUCAAAUGAAUCAAGUCUGAUUUUCCUUCUUUCUUCACCUAAUUAGACAGUGGGGAGAUUUAUGGAAUAAUUGAGCCAGCUCAAUGUAGCUGUAAUUUGACAUCUAAUUAAUCAAUGUCCUGCUCCUUCACAGGUGCAAUACAAACCCUUCCUAACUGCUGCAGGCAUGUCUCUAUUGUUGCUGUGGAAAAAAACCCCAGUCAAACCCCAUUUCUUGUUUCCUCCUGCCACUGGAGCAUGAAAAGCCGCAGGAAUUCUGUCGUUGCCCCCAAGCACCAGGAGCGACGUUGCCGGGUGGUCACAUCCCACAGCUCCCACGGGAUGGCCUCAGUGCAGGCUGCUGGAGGCACAGCUGAUUCCUGAUGCUGCUAAAAGUUUGGGAAGCAGCUUUUCUCCCCAGAGUACUCCUGGCUGCUGACCAGGUGUCCAUGGGGAGGGAGGGCAUUGUGUUCUGCAGCUGGCCAAGCCUGGGGAGUGCAGGAAGCCGUAAAGGUACCACCAGGACAUGCAGGGAUCCAAGGAAAAUUCUGGCCCUAUUAGAGUUAAUAGGAGUUUUGCGUUUGACAUCAACAAGGUCAAGGAUUUUACCCAAGGAAUAUUAGUCAUCAGCAUUGGGAUGAAUUAGAGGACUUGUCAACAAGAAGCAGGCAAGGUUAGUCCCAUGGG